GACGAACGCUGGCGGCGUGCUUAACACAUGCAAGCCGAACGAAGAGCGAUGGAAGCUUGCUUCUAUCAAUCUUAGUGGCGAACGGGUGAGUAACGCGUAAUCAACCUGCCCUUCAGAGGGGGACAACAGUUGGAAACGACUGCUAAUACCGCAUACGAUCUAAUCUCGGCAUCGAGGAAAGAUGAAAGGUGGCCUCUAUUUAUAAGCUAUCACUGAAGGAGGGGAUUGCGUCUGAUUAGCUAGUUGGAGGGGUAACGGCCCACCAAGGCGAUGAUCAGUAGCCGGUCUGAGAGGAUGAACGGCCACAUUGGGACUGAGACACGGCCCAGACUCCUACGGGAGGCAGCAGUGGGGAAUCUUCCGCAAUGGACGAAAGUCUGACGGAGCAACGCCGCGUGAGUGAUGACGGCCUUCGGGUUGUAAAGCUCUGUUAAUCGGGACGAAAGGCCUUCUUGCGAA
rnacentral:rRNA from 1 species